AUUGAACGCUGGCGGCAUGCCUUACACAUGCAAGUCGAACGGCAGCACGGGUGCUUGCACCUGGUGGCGAGUGGCGAACGUGUGAGUAAUACAUCGGAACAUGUCCUGUAGUGGGGGAUAGCCCGGCGAAAGCCGGAUUAAUACCGCAUACGAUCUACGGAUGAAAGCGGGGGACCUUCGGGCCUCGCGCUUUAGGGUUGGCCGAUGGCUGAUUAGCUAGUUGGUGGGGUAAAGGCCUACCAAGGCGACGAUCAGUAGCUGGUCUGAGAGGACGACCAGCGACACUGGAGCUGAGACGCGGCCCAGACUCCUACGGGAGGCAGCAGUGGGGAAUGUUGGGCAGUGGGCGAAAGCCUGGUCCAGCGGUGCCGCGUGUGUGGAGAAAGCCUUCGGUGUGUGAAGAACUUUUGUCCGGAGAAAAAUCCUUGGCCCUGAGACGAUCGGGGGAUGACGGUACCGGAAGAAUAAGCACCGGCUAACUACGUG
rnacentral:rRNA from 1 species